rnacentral:rRNA from 1 species
GGAAAGGCGCGCGAUACAGGGUGACAGCCCCGUACACAAAAAUGCACAUGCUGUGAGCUCGAUGAGUAGGGCGGGACACGUGGUAUCCUGUCUGAAUAUGGGGGGACCAUCCUCCAAGGCUAAAUACUCCUGACUGACCGAUAGUGAACCAGUACCGUGAGGGAAAGGCGAAAAGAACCCCGGCGAGGGGAGUGAAAAAGAACCUGAAACCGUGUACGUACAAGCAGUGGGAGCACGCUUAGGCGUGUGACUGCGUACCUUUUGUAUAAUGGGUCAGCGACUUAUAUUCUGUAGCAAGGUUAACCGAAUAGGGGAGCCGAAGGGAAACCGAGUCUUAACUGGGCGUUAAGUUGCAGGGUAUAGACCCGAAACCCGGUGAUCUAGCCAUGGGCAGGUUGAAGGUUGGGUAACACUAACUGGAGGACCGAACCGACUAAUGUUGAAAAAUUAGCGGAUGACUUGUGGCUGGGGGUGAAAGGCCAAUCAAACCGGGAGAUAGCUGGUUCUCCCCGAAAGCUAUUUAGGUAGCGCCUCGUGAAUUCAUCUCCGGGGGUAGAGCACUGUUUCGGCAAGGGGGUCAUCCCGACUUACCAACCCGAUGCAAACUGCGAAUACCGGAGA